rnacentral:rRNA from 2 species
UGCCUAAUACAUGAGUCGAGCGGACAUUUGAGAGCUUGCUCUCAAAUGUUAGCGGCGGACGGGUGAGUAACACGUGGGUAACCUGCCUGUAAGAUUGGGAUAACUCCGGGAAACCGGAGCUAAUACCGAAUAACAUUUUGAACCGCAUGGUUCGAAAUUGAAAGAUGGUUUCGGCUAUCACUUACAGAUGGACCCGCGGCGCAUUAGCUAGUUGGUGAGGUAAUGGCUCACCAAGGCGACGAUGCGUAGCCGACCUGAGAGGGUGAUCGGCCACACUGGGACUGAGACACGGCCCAGACUCCUACGGGAGGCAGCAGUAGGGAAUCUUCCGCAAUGGACGAAAGUCUGACGGAGCAACGCCGCGUGAACGAUGAAGGCCUUCGGGUCGUAAAGUUCUGUUGUUAGGGAAGAACAAGUACCAGAGUAACUGCUGGUACCUUGACGGUACCUAACCAGAAAGCCACGGCUAACUACGUGCCAGCAGCCGCGGUAAUACGUAGGUGGCAAGCGUUGUCCGGAAUUAUUGGGCGUAAAGCGCGCGCAGGCGGUUUUUUAAGUCUGAUGUGAAAGCCCACGGCUCAACCGUGGAGGGUCAUUGGAAACUGGAGAACUUGAGUGCAGAAGAGGAGAGCGGAAUUCCACGUGUAGCGGUGAAAUGCGUAGAGAUGUGGAGGAACACCAGUGGCGAAGGCGGCUCUCUGGUCUGUAAC